ACAGCUGUGUGGUGAUAGAGGCUGAAUACACACCUGCCUUCACAGGUGGGACAACAUCUGAUCCGGACUCCACAGGUCGGUCUCCUCUGAGCUACGUCAUGUGGGCUCUACGUAUGGGAGGACUGAUUCUAAUGAUUGUAAUCACCGUCGUUGUCAUCAGAAACAGAUGGAACAAAAAACCACUUGAUGACGACAAAGUCAAUAACGACGACGACGGCGUCCAGUAUGAAAACGUAGAAGCACCUCGUGCUGCUGCUCGACUGCCCAGAUCAACAGCUGCAGCUCAAUAGAAAGUCAAAUCCCAUCAAGCUUUCUACACCAGUGAUCGAGCUUUGAGUUAAAACGAUAUAUUUAGCAUACAUUACUCUCGCUUCUUACGCCUUCAGUGAUGGAAAGAAUUUCUGUCCAACAGUUUUCUGUGUGGCUUCAUAUCGUUCACAUCUGUCGUAUUGAUGGACAUCCAGAGAAAUGUCAUAAACUUUGCAGUUCUGCAGAUCUUUUUAGCCUCAUUUAGCGAACAGGUUUUUUGGCACAUGUACUCUGUGCUUCAGCCUCGACGCUCUCAACCCUUGUUUCCUCUACUUUAAAGCUGCUGGGCAGCAAACAGAGUUCACACGCUGGUCUGCUGGAUGUGUAAAUACAGAAGGCCACUACUUCCUUUGCUUUAUCCGCUGUACAAAAUAAAAUGUAUUUAAUAUGUCAAUGUGUUUUUCGACCUUAAAGUAGCGACAUAAAUUGAUAAAUUGAGCUCCAAAAGAUUUUGAAUUAUUGUACUGCUGUCGUUCUCUAUUUGAUCUCUGUUGAACUAAACACUUUCUUUUACUUCUUUUUUCUCAAAUAAAUGUGCUGAUACCUGAUAUCAGUCCUAUUAACCAUC